UACGGAGGAUGCAAGCGUUAUCCGGAUUUAUUGGGUUUAAAGGGUGCGCAGGCGGACUGUUAAGUCAGCGGUGAAAUGUCCCGGCUCAACCGGGGCCCUGCCGUUGAUACUGGCAGACUAGAGUACGGACGGCGCCGGCGGAAUGUGUCAUGUAGCGGUGAAAUGCUUAGAUAUGCCACAGAACACCGAUCGCGAAGGCAGCUGGCGAGGCCGGUACUGACGCUCAGGCACGAAAGCGUGGGGAUCAAACAGG
rnacentral:rRNA from 1 species